rnacentral:rRNA from 1 species
UAGGGAAUCUUCCGCAAUGGGCGAAAGCCUGACGGAGCAACGCCGCGUGAGUGAUGAAGGUCUUCGGAUCGUAAAACUCUGUUAUUAGGGAAGAACAAAUGUGUAAGUAACUAUGCACGUCUUGACGGUACCUAAUCAGAAAGCCACGGCUAACUACGUGCCAGCAGCCGCGGUAAUACGUAGGUGGCAAGCGUUAUCCGGAAUUAUUGGUCGUAAAGCGCGCGUAGGCGGUUUUUUAAGUCUGAUGUGAAAGCCCCCGGCUCAACCGUGGAGGAUCGUUUGAAACUGGAAAUCUUGAGUGCCGAAGAGGAAAGUGGAAUUCCAUGUGUAGCGGUGACAUGCGCAGAGAUAUGGAGGAACCCCAGUGGCGAAGGCGACUUUCUAGUAUGUAACUGACGCUGAUGUGCGAAAGCGUGGGGAUCAAACAGG